rnacentral:rRNA from 1 species
GUGUCAGCAGCCGCGGUAAGACGAACCGAGCGAACGUUGUUCGGAAUCACUGGGCUUAAAGGGCGCGUAGGCGGGUGCUCAAGUCCGUGGUGAAAUCCUCCGGCUCAACCGGAGAACUGCCUCGGAUACUGGGCGUCUCGAGUGUGGUAGGGGUAUGCGGAACUAUCGGUGGAGCGGUGAAAUGCGUUGAUAUCGAUAGGAACUCCGGUGGCGAAGGCGGCAUACUGGACCACCACUGACGCUGAUGCGCGAAAGCCAGGGGAGCAAACGGGAUUAGAUACCCCCGUAGUCC